UACGUAGGGGGCAAGCGUUGUCCGGAUUUAUUGGGCGUAAAGAGCGUGUAGGCGGUUUGGUAGGUCCGCUGUGAAAACUCGAGGCUCAACCUCGAGACGCCGGUGGAAACCAUCAGGCUAGAGUCCGGAAGAGGAGAGUGGAAUUCCGUGGUGUAGCGGUGAAAUGCGCAGAUAUCAGGAAGAACACCCGUGGCUAAGGCGGCUCUCUAGUACGGUACUGACGCUGAGACGCGAAAGCGUGGGGAGCGAACAGG
rnacentral:rRNA from 1 species